rnacentral:rRNA from 1 species
AAGGGUGAGUAACGCGUGGGUUAUCUGCCUUCAAGACUGGGAUAACGGUUAGAAAUGAUCGCUAAUACCGGAUAAUACAUAUUUCAGUACGCUGUUAUAUGUUGAAAGGAGCCUUUAAAGCUCUACUCGAAGAUGAGCCUGCGUCGUAUUAGCUAGUUGGUGGGGUAAAGGCCUACCAAGGCGACGAUGCGUAGCCGACCUGAGAGGGUGAUCGGCCACACUGGGACUGAGACACGGCCCAGACUCCUACGGGAGACAGCAGUUAGGAAUAUUUGUCAAUGGAGGAAACUCUGAACAAGCAAUGCCGCGUGAAGGAUGACGGUCCUAUGGAUUGUAAACUUCUGUUGUUAGGGAAGAACGACUACACAAGGAAAUGUGUGUAGAGUGACGGUACCUUUCAAGAAAGCUCCGGCUAACUACGUGCCAGCAGCCGCGGUAAUACGUAGGGAGCGAGCGUUAUCCGGAUUUAUUGGGUGUAAAGGGUGCGUAGGCGGCUUUAUAAGUCGGUGGUCUAAGUCCGAAGCUUAACUUCGGUUCGCCAUUGAAACUGUAGAGCUUGAGUAUGGAAGAGGUAAGUGGAAUUUCUAGUGUAGCGGUUAAAUGCGUAGAUAUUAGAAGGAACACCAGUGGCGAAAGCGACUUACUGGUCCACUACUGACGCUGAGGCACGAAAGCGUGGGGAGCAAAUAGGAUUAGAUACCCUAGUAGUCCACGCCGUAAAC